rnacentral:rRNA from 1 species
AACGAACGCUGGCGGCAUGCCUAACACAUGCAAGUCGAACGGGAUCCUAGCUUGCUAGGUGAGAGUGGCGGACGGGUGAGUCACACGUGGGAAUCUGCCUUUGGUUCGGGAUAACCGCGGGAAACUGCGGCUAAUACCGAAUGCCCUCGAGAGAGGAAAGAUUUAUCGCCAGAAGAGGAGCCCGCGUCCGAUUAGGUAGUUGGUGGGGUAAAGGCCUACCAAGCCGACGAUCGGUAGCUGGUCUGAGAGGAUGAUCAGCCACACUGGGACUGAGAUACGGCCCAGACUCCUACGGGAGGCAGCAGUGGGGAAUAUUGGACAAUGGGGGCGAACCCUGAUCCAGCAAUGCCGCGUGAGUGAUGAAGGCCUUAGGGUUGUAAAGCUCUUUUGCCAGGGAAGAUGAUGACUGUACCUGGAGAAUAAGCCCCGGCUAACUUCGUGCCAGCAGCCGCGGUAAU